rnacentral:miRNA from 1 species
GAAAUGCCUCCAUGAGAUCCAACUGUAAGGCAUUUUCCCAAUUAGUGAUCAAGGGGGAAAGGCCCCUUGUGGGUGGGACCAUCUCUGGGCUGGUAGUCUUG